UGAAAAUUAUUUUGACUUAAUGUCACACUUUGAUUUACUGAUUUACUAAUAUUUAUUUGCAGGUUUAGUUGCUUUUGUCUCCAUGUUGUCCAAGGGUUAUGUCGGCCAUGAUCCUAAUAUUAUCAUGGGUUUAGCAGAGUUGUUUAACUUGCAAACUGGAUUGAAGAUUUUGAAUAAAUUUUUGUGUUCUUAAUAUGGUCACAAGUUUGUACUUGUUUAAAACCCUCAAUCAUUUGAAAAUUAUGGCGCCGACAUGGUAGAUGUCCUAGAAAAAACUGGUAGUAACUCAAUGUAGAUACACAUAGUCGAUGGAGUUACUUGCUAAUAACUGGCAAUAAGACAUAUUUGCUUCAAAUGAUGCCUUUAAAGUUUGAAAAGAUUUUUUCUAAUUCAAAUGUCGACUUUUUGUUACAUGAAAAAAGAUACUUAUUUCAACCGCUCAACUAUAUUGAUACACUUAGUAUGUGGAGUUACUUGUCAAUAGCUGGCGAUGAAACUUUUAAACGUAACGUCUUUAAGGGCUGAGAAGGUAAAAAUUAGAAGUCUGCAGACUGCAACGUAAAUCGAUUUCAACACGUUAUGGCUUCUCGAAUAUAUUUAGUUUCCGAUUGAAAUGAGAAUAAACUGAACUUAUAUAUAAAGUGUUUACAAUUAACUUUUUAAACUAGAAAUACUCCAAAGGAGGUUCUCCAAACGCAAGUUAAGCAAAGUCGAUAGAUGUUAAUAUCUUUUAUAUUAUGUUUUAGAUAUAAAAAAAAAUUUUUGUUACUUUAAUAUUUAUGUUAUAAUUGUAAAUUGCCAUCUUAA
rnacentral:lncRNA from 1 species